CUGAGAUUGUGGCUCAGUGGUAGAGCACUUGCCUCGCAUGUGUGAGGCACUGGGUUUGAUUCUCAGCACUGAGU
rnacentral:tRNA from 1 species